rnacentral:rRNA from 1 species
UACGGAGGGUGCAAACGUUGCUCGGAAUCAUUGGGCGUAAAGCGCACGUAGGCGGCUCAGCAAGUCGGGUGUGAAAGCCCUCGGCUUAACCGAGGAAGUGCAUUCGAAACUACUGAGCUUGAAUACUGGAGAGGAUCGGCGGAAUUCCCGGUCGUAGAGGUGAAAUUCGUAGAUAUCGGGAGGAACACCAGUGGCGAAGGCGGCGAUCUGGACAGAUAUUGACGCUGAGGUGCGAAAGCGUGGGGAGCAAACAGG